CGCUCCACAGCCUCGUGCACGCCGUCCACACCCACAUGCUGCGGGACCCGGACAACCACUUCCGAGUCGCCAAUCAGCAGCUCAGGGAGAGCGGCCGCCACUGCACGGGGGACCUGCACGCGCUCACCGUCGCCCUCAGCCGCACGCCGUCCUUCGCCAGACUGUUUCAAGAAGCAGAGGAUCUGGCAGAAACAACCGCAGAAGUUGAACGAAAUUGCUCGGAAG